AAUUGCACCUCACAUCAAGAAGCUUUCUCUGGCUGUAUUUAAGGUAAACUUAUACGUUUUGUGUGUGUUAAUUGUAAUUGCAUAAAUUGAUUGGCCUUAAGUAGGUGCAUUAACUUGUAAGAUGAUUCCUUAACUGUUGGUGGGGAAGUCAAAAGCAAAGGUGAAGUUUUGUUGCAGCAUUUACAGAAUAGAUGUAGGUCGGCUAAUACAAGUUGUCGGAUAGAGUUGUUUGGUAGAAUAAGCAAUAGUUUUGACGAAAGACAUAAGCGGUGGGUGAGGGAGAUGGGCUUUGGUGGGUUGUUAAAGCUUGGUGAUAUGAACCUUCCAAGACAUUUGGCUUACUGGUUGAUGACUCGUGUAGAUCCCUUCAAUUGUACUCUUACUGCCCAAGAUGGCAGAGUGUACAGGCUUUCUCAAAACCAGGUUCAUUGGGUCCUUGGUAUUCCUAAUGGAGGGUUACCUGUUCCCACAUACCAAACAAUAGACAAUUUACACUUCAAAAGGUGAAUAGGAUUAUGGAUAGAUAUGGCAAAACAUGGAGUAGUAAGUGCAGCAGAAGUGGUCGUGAGUAUAUAUUUGAGGGUAUUCAAGUAAAUGUUGAUCUGAUUGCUAGUGUGGAGGGGGGAUGGGAGGAAGAUCAGGCUGAGGAGUUCAAGACUGUUUUCUUGUUGUUGUCUCUGGAAAUGUUGUUAUGCCCUAAUCAGUCUUCAAGAUUGGCGACUGAUCUUGUUUCUUCACUAACAUGUGCUGCAAGAGCUGUUGACUAUGACUGGUGCAGCCCAGUAUUACAAAAACUCAUGUACAGUGUGGCGAUGUUUGCACGACGGUUUUAUUCUGUUGGAUUUGCAAGUGGUUGUGCCGGUUGCCUCAUAUUCAUUGUGAUUUUGUAUUUGGAUCGUCUUAAUAGACAUCCUGUUCAUUGGGGCUAUUUCCCUAGGUUAGAGGUGUGGAACAUGGAAGAGAUUCGGUUGGCUAUUAGUAAAGAUCGCCUACCGAAUGGGGGUGACUUUGGGCAGCUUAGGGAAUGUUUUUGACUUAGAACACAGGUAGUUGGGUAUUUCCAUUUUUCAUGAUGUUGUUGUGUUGUAUCAUGUAGACUUUGGAUGUGGCUUAUGGUGAAACUCAUCCAACCAAAGCUAGGGAUUCGAAUGGACCCGGGGGGUCAACUGAGAGAAGCUGUUGUGUCAGUGUCUGUUUUAGAAGUAAGACAGCACAAAUGCGGAAGCCGAAAAUGAAGAAAGUUUAUGGUAAAUCAACUGCUGAUAUGAGUGACAAGGUAGACUCUGUUGAGAAAAAGGCAAUUAUUGUAUCUGGUAACAACAAUAUCGGUGCAUUUUCAAAUUUUGAUUCUAUAUGAUUGCGAAUGGAUGUCAUGAAAAGGUGGUAAUAGGUGCUUAUCGGGAGAUGCUUUCAACACACUGCUUCGAUUAACAUCAUGGGUUGGUAGGUGGAAUCAUGCUAGGCAAUUUCCUAAUGCACCAGAUCCCUGGUUCUGGUCGUCAUUGUUGGGAGAGUUCGUGUUGUUUCUUGGAACAAUUGGGUCAGAUACCAUGUCAAGAGGGUGCGUAGACUGCUUUAUAGCUAGUCCAUGUUGUGCUUACAUGGAUAUUGUAUCGAAGGUUGAUGGAGCUUCAGGUCCCGGCUAUCCGGCUUCCUUUUCCGUUUGUGUAUUUGUAAAAUUUGGUAAUGUACAAGAUAUUACUCUGAUAUACACAAACUCGUUGACUUCCUCAUCAAAUUUUCACAAGGUGAACAAGCGGGUAGCAAAUGUGGAACAAUUUUAUCAAGCAAUACGUACUAUAAUGAAUGGGGCUUCCGUUGCUAACAGCAUCAGGAAUGUGAUCAUCACGAAGGACUUCCGAUGCCUGGAAAGUUGUUCAUCUCAUCUCAACGCACAUCCGAUUUGAUCAAUUUGUACUACUGACACAUUUGUUCGAAAUAAUGAAGUAAUUCGUAGAGUAUAAAAUUUCAAUCUCGAUUUCUUAGAUGUAAAAUAAUCGGUCUUUUUAAUCAGUGCGUAGUUGUAGUGUAAUACGGAUAUGUUGUUUGUGUGGGUUACAUUGUAUUGGAUUAUUGGCAA